UGGUAAUAAGCAAAGAGACACCUUGCUGGUGGUGCUGUUCUUUUAUCAGUCAUUGACCAGAGUAGAUGGCAGUCCUUUGUUCAUCCUAGCUUGAUGCCUGGCUCAGUGGCCAAAGCUGUCUUAUACCUAGGACUCAUAA